AUUGAACGCUGGCGGCAGGCCUAACACAUGCAAGUCGAGCGGAUGAAGGGAGCUUGCUCCUGGAUUCAGCGGCGGACGGGUGAGUAAUGCCUAGGAAUCUGCCUGGUAGUGGGGGAUAACGUCCGGAAACGGGCGCUAAUACCGCAUACGUCCUGAGGGAGAAAGUGGGGGAUCUUCGGACCUCACGCUAUCAGAUGAGCCUAGGUCGGAUUAGCUAGUUGGUGGGGUAAAGGCCUACCAAGCCGACGAUCCGUAACUGGUCUGAGAGGAUGAUCAGUCACACUGGAACUGAGACACGGUCCAGACUCCUACGGGAGGCAGCAGUGGGGAAUAUUGGACGAUGGGCGAAAGCCUGAUCCAGCCAUGCCGCGUGUGUGAAGAAGGUCUUCGGAUUGUAAAGCACUUUAAGUUGGGAGGAAGGGCAGUAAGUUAAUACCUUGCUGUUUUGACGUUACCAACAGAAUAAGCACCGGCUAACUUCGUG
rnacentral:rRNA from 1 species